AAUGAACGUUGGCGGCGUGGAUUAGGCAUGCAAGUCGUGCGGAAAGGCCCCGCAAGGGGUACUCGAGCGGCGUAAGGGAGAGUAACACGUGGGUAACCUACCCCUAGGACCGGGAUAGCCGCGGGAAACUGCGGGUAAUACCGGAUAAUGUCCCUGGACCAAAGGUGUAAUUCCUUCUAGGGAGGGGCCCGCGUCCUACUAGCUAGUUGGUGAGGUAACGGCCCACCAAGGCUAAGAUGGGUAUCAGGCGUGAGAGCGUGACCUGACUCACUGGGACUGAGACACUGCCCAGACACCUACGGGUGGCUGCAGUCGAGGAUCUUCGGCAAUGGGCGCAAGCCUGACCGAGCGACGCCGCGUGCGGGAUGAAGGCCUUCGGGUUGUAAACCGCUGUCAGAGGGGAUGAAGUAUUGGGGAGUUCUCUCUUCAAUUUGACAUAUCCUCAGAGGAAGUACGGGCUAAGUUCGUGCCAGCAGCCGCGGUAAGACGAMCCGUACAAACGUUAUUCGGAAUCACUGGGCUUAAARGGUGCGUAGGCGGUUCGAUAAGUUGGGUGUGAAAUACCUCGGCUCAACCGAGGAAUUGCGCCCAAAACUGCCGGACUKRRGGAAGAUAGARGUGAGCGGAACUUAGGGUGGAGCGGUGAAAUGCGUUGAUAUCCUAAGGGAACACCAGGGGCGAAAGCGGCUCACUGGAUCYUUUCUGACGCUGAGGCACGAAAGCUAGGGGAGCGAARRRGAUUAGAUACCCUCGUAGUCCUAGCCGUAAACGAUGAGCACUGGAUCGAAGGGUCCUCCAUAGCCUUUUGGUCGUARCGAAAGUGUUAAGUGCUCCGCCUGGGGAGWAUGGUCGCAAGGCUGAAACUCAAAAGAAUUGACGGGGGCUCACACAAGCGGUGGAGGAUGUGGCUCAAUUCGAGGCUACGCGAAAAACCUUAUCCUAGUCUUGACAUGCACGGAUUAACCUCGUGAAAGCGAGGCCAGGCCUUCGGGUACAACGUGCACAGGUGCUGCAUGGCUGUCAUCAGCUCGUGUCGUGAGAUGUCGGGUUAAGUCCCUUAACGAGCGAAACCCUUGUCGCUAGUUGCCAGCGAGUCAUGUCGGGGACUCUAGCGAGACUGCCGGUGUUAAACCGGAGGAAGGCGGGGAUGACGUCAAGUCCUCAUGGCCUUUAUGACUAGGGCUGCACACGUCCUACAAUGGCGCGCACAAAGGGACGCAAACCUGUGAAGGCGAGCAAAUCCCAAAAAACGCGCCCCAGUUCGGAUUGCAGGCUGCAACCCGCCUGCA
rnacentral:rRNA from 1 species